rnacentral:rRNA from 1 species
UACGGAGGGAGCUAGCGUUGUUCGGAAUUACUGGGCGUAAAGCGCACGUAGGCGGCUUUUUAAGUCAGGGGUGAAAUCCCGGGGCUCAACCCCGGAACUGCCUUUGAAACUGGAGAGCUAGAAUCUUGGAGAGGCGAGUGGAAUUCCGAGUGUAGAGGUGAAAUUCGUAGAUAUUCGGAAGAACACCAGUGGCGAAGGCGACUCGCUGGACAAGUAUUGACGCUGAGGUGCGAAAGCGUGGGGAGCAAACAGGG